rnacentral:rRNA from 1 species
UAAAAACGACUCUCGGCAACGGAUAUCUCGGCUCUCGCAUCGAUGAAGAACGUAGCGAAAUGCGAUACUUGGUGUGAAUUGCAGAAUCCCGCGAACCAUCGAGUCUUUGAACGCAAGUUGCGCCCGAAGCCAUUAGGUCGAGGGCACGUCUGCCUGGGCGU